rnacentral:rRNA from 1 species
UAGGGAAUCUUCCACAAUGGGCAAAGCCUGAUGGAGCAACGCCGCGUGUGUGAUGAAGGCUUUCGGUCGUAAAGCACUGUUGUAUGGGAAGAACAGCUAGAAUAGGAAAUGAUUUUAGUUUGACGGUACCAUACCAGAAAGGGACGGCUAAAUACGUGCCAG